GCGCAGCUCCCGGGGGGACGUGUGCUGCCAGCAGGUGUGGGGGCUGCCACGGAGGGCAAGUCUCCUGAGCGGGGUCCUCCUUGUCACCGCCGUGACAGCCACAGCGCCCGCGGUGCGCCCGGCCGGCGAGGGAGGUGCGCUGAACUCUGCUCAGAGCGCUGACGGGGCGAGCUGGUGGUGUGAGUUUAUCCUGGCUCUCCUUUGGAGGUGCAGUCAAAAUCAAAUGCAAAAAUGAUGGGAUAAUGCAAUAAUGAUUAGCUGGAAUACAGCUGUGAAAAGGUAGGAACGCAAACCAGGAGCAGCUGGCACCCCUUGGUUCCCCAGGCAUGCAAAUCCAUGUGCCCGUACAGGCUCAUGAAGAAUUCUGUCAGAUGCUGUGUAAUAGUUCUGCUACUCUGUGGUGCUCCAUAAAGAUGAAAUUCAGAGAUUUGCCUGUGCUGAUUCACAUGACCUGUAGUGAGUGUCUAUCAACAAGGACCUGCCAGUUACUACUUCAUCUGGAGAAAACCCAGAGCAGUCAAAAGGAAAUGCUGC